rnacentral:rRNA from 1 species
GCCCUACGGGAGGCAGCAGUGGGGAAUAUUGGGCAAUGGGCGCAAGCCUGACCCAGCAACGCCGCGUGAGGGACGACGGUCCUAUGGAUUGUAAACCUCUUUUGUCGGGGAACAAAGGCGUCCACGGGUGGGCGGAUGAGUGUACCCGAAGAAAAAGCAUCGGCUAACUCCGUGCCAGCAGCCGCGGUAAUACGGAGGAUGCGAGCGUUAUCCGGAUUUAUUGGGUUUAAAGGGUGCGUAGGCGGACAGUCAAGUCAGCGGUAAAAAUGCGGUGCUCAACGCCGUACAGCCGUUGAAACUGGCAG